rnacentral:rRNA from 1 species
CCUUACCUGGGCUUAAAUGUAGAGUGCAUGAGUGGGAAACCAUUCUUUCCUUCGGGACUCUUUACAAGGUGCUGCAUGGUUGUCGUCAGCUCGUGCCGUGAGGUGUCGGGUUAAGUCCCAUAACGAGCGCAACCCCUACCUUUAGUUGCCAUCAGGUAAUGCUGGGGACUCUAAAGGAACUGCCUACGCAAGUAGUGAGGAAGGUGGGGAUGACGUCAAAUCAGCACGGCCCUUACGUCCAGGGCUACACACGUGCUACAAUGGUCGGUACAGAGGGCAGCUACCACGCGAGUGGAUGCAAAUCUCCAAAGCCGAUCUCAGUUCGGAUCGAAGUCUGAAACUCGACUUCGUGAAGUUGGAUUCGCUAGUAAUCGCGCAUCAGCCAUGGCGCGGUGAAUACGUUCCC